UAAAUGUUACGCUGGCGUUACAAACUCACAAAAUUCAUAAUCACUUUGACAGAAAAAUAAAACAAAAAUGUUACGCCGGCGGUACAAACUCCCCAAGGUUCAUAAUCACAUAGACAGAUAAUUCGUUGAAAAUGUUACGCUGGCGGUACAAACUCACAAAGGUUCAUUAUAACAUCACCAAAUAAAUCAUUCCACUUUAAAUGUUACGCUGGCGGUACAAACUCACAAAAUUCAUAAAAAUCUGUCUAUUUUAAAAAUGGAAUGUCCAUGAA